AAAGGAAGCAUCACACUGUUGCAUUGGGCGCAUGUAACAAACCAAAUGUGAUUUGAUUAGCGCUAUUAUUUUGUUGUCAAUAACUUGCUGAUAAGAACUUACUCUCUUAUCAGCUCUUGGACUUUGGUAACCCUUGCACCUACAGCUGUGUGAAUGGUACUGUUAAUCAACUUAAGAACUCUAAAAACAAACCCUAUAGAAAUUGAAGUAGUGUAUUUCUUCACGCAACACUAAGUGACCAGGUAAACUGUAGCUUGCUACUAUAACUCCAGAGAAACUAGACUUUUGGCACUUCGCAGUGCUCUACUCCAAAGCGACCAUUUUGGGUCUGUGUGUGUGUCUCUCUGUGUGUCUCUGUGUGUCUCUGCGCCUUCGAGAGGAAGUGGUGCAACUCAUUUCCUGCAGCCCCCCGAAUACACACAGCGAGAAGAGGGGCAAAGCAGCAGCAGCAGCAACAUAAAAAAAAAAUCAAAAAAAGGUUUGCGAGUGAAGGAAAUGGCUGAUCGCACAGGACAAAUGGCUCUCCUUGUAAAAGCGACAAAAAAUGCAUUGAAUUUCUUUUAGCCUUUUUUUUUUUUUUUUUACAGCCGGUUUCCAUUUCCACUUUACAUGUUAUGAGGGAACCAGCCCAUAGAAGACAGAACAGUGGAUGGAAGAGCGCGAGAGAGAGUGAAGUGGACGGAGGCUAAGAUACAGGGGCUGGUCAACAGUGUCAGAACAUAUCAAAUCCAGGCAGACUCCUGCUCCUUGGCCUGCCAAUCUGAACGACAACCUCCCCACCACACACACACACACACACACACACACACACUGCUCCGAGCAUCUUCAGUAAUGCCAACAGGGUCCCAGCCAGCUGCCAGCCCCUCUCCCAGCCUGCCCCUGUUUGCCCAGCCCUGAGCCCUGAGCCCUAACCACAAACUGGCCCCGUGGCUCUAGGAACCCCCCCCAGUGCAGCUGUCCUCCACACAGCCAGGUGGCGCCCUGACCCACCGCUGGACAGGCAGCGCUACUAACAGGUAAUACAAUGUAGAUUAGAUUACUUUACCUCACCUAGACUACAUCCUGGCUCUGUUUAGUCCACUACUGUUAGUAACAUUACCUCACCUAGACUACAUCCUGGCUCUGUUUAGUCCACUACUGUUAGUAACAUUACCUCACCUAGACUACAUCCUGGCUCUGUUUAGUCCACUACUGUUAGUAACAUUACCUCACCUAGACUACAUCUGGAAUGGCUCUGUUUAGUCCACUACUGUUAGUAACAUUACCUCACCUAGACUACAUCUGGAAUGGCUCUGUUUAGUCCACUACUGUUAGUAACAUUACCUCACCUAGACUACAUCCUGGCUCUGUUUAGUCCACUACUGUUAGUAACAUUACCUCACCUAGACUACAUCUGGAAUGGCUCUGUUUAGUCCACUACUGUUAGUAACAUUACCUCACCUAGACUACAUCUGGAAUGGCUCUGUUUAGUCCACUACUGUUAGUAACAUUACCUCACCUAGACUACAUCCUGGCUCUGUUUAGUCCACUACUGUUAGUAACAUUACCUCA